rnacentral:lncRNA from 1 species
GGAAAUAGGAAAAAGGAAGAGAAGUCACUAUUCUUUGGAGGUCACUGCAGCCAGAUUCAUGAACAGAAGAGUGGCUCACAGUAACUUCUUGGUGAGUCCUAGAGAAUCACUUGGUUCACUGCUGACAACAAAGAGAUACAAACUUCUCAGGAAUUUUUAAGAAUAGAAACAGUGUUCCAGAGAGCUCUCCAAACUUUCUGCUUUGGUAGUUCAGGUGAACACAGAAGAGAGAUCAAGUUCGUUGAGGACAGAAAAGACAUAAGCUGCCAAGAAGUUAUUAUCUGGCUAUCCAGGCAAAAGCUAGAGUCCAAGAGGCCAGAUAAUUCGUGAGAACAUCUCCAGGAUGCAGGAAAUACUGGAAAUGAGUUGAUAUCCUUGACUGAAUUUAUUUCAUUCAUUUGUUCAUUUAUUCAGUGACUCAAAAUGUACUGGGCACUGUACUUACUGCUGUGAAUACAACUUGGAGUAAGUCACCGUGCCUGCUACACCAUCUGUUGGGAGAAACUGAAGUGAAACAGAUACAUUACCCUGUACCUCCAUAGCACCUACAGUGGAUGUCUGGGCAGGGAGCUGUGGGAGCUUACUGGUGCAUGCUAUCAUUCCUCCUGCUGUGUGGGUGGGCGAGAAGGCUCAGGUGUGAGCAUUUGCCAGCAGAUAUACAGAUAGAGCCCCCAGGUGUUCAUCCUCCUGCUUAAGGCUGAGGCCAAGGAAAGGCCUUUUGGGGUUUUCUUUUGGUAAGUAAUUAAUAUAUGUUUCGUAUAUUAAUGCCAAGUUAAAUGCCAAGAACAUGAAAAGACCUCGCAGAUGCUAAGUGUUAUUAUAACAUUAAAAUAAUGAGAGUCUUGCUCAUCUUGCUCUGUCUACCUUAGUGGUUAUUCUCAACACUGCCUGCAGGUUAGAAUCACCUGGGGGAGCUUUGGAAAAUGCUGACGCCCAGGCCCCAUCUCCUGAGACUGAAUUUAAUUGACUUGGGAUGAAGUCUGAGUAGCAGGAAGUUAAAAAGCUCCCCAGGUGAUUCUAAUGUACUGCCAGGGUUGAGAACAAAUACAAGCAGCUCAAAUCAUUCUAUUUCCUUUAUCCUUACCCUAAUAGCUCCCUGAGACUCAGCUGAAUUCCCAUAUCCUCUAUGAAGUCCUUCCUGCCAGCUUCAGCUCAUUCCAUCACACCAUGACUAAUCACUUUUCUCUGAUCCAUCCACUCCCCCUUUUUGACGUUUACUUCCCCAGUGACUUUCUCAAUUAUGUAAGGUCUAAUUCUUUUAAUUCCUUUAUUCCAUGAUACUGAUGGUAGUAGUGCUUCCACGACUGAACCCUGAUUACUAUAGCCCCAUUUCACUUCCCUUCCCAAAUCCCCUCAGUGCAAAGGGUCCAUUGAGGUGGCCACAAUUCUCCACAGAAAGAAAGCAAUUUCUGUAAUUAUUGGUGUCCAGAUCUCUCAGUGAGUGCCAGAGAAGGGUAAGUAGAGAUAUUGCUUUGCAACAAUAAGGACUUCGAGGCAUCUCUUCAUUUAUAGAGGGCUUAGAUUGAGACACUCAGGCUGCAGGAUGAUUGUAAAAGCUGUUGAGUCAUAUGACUAUCAGUCACCCUAGGCCUGGAUAUAGGCUCGGAAUACUAGGUGAGGAAGCCAAGUGACAAGCAAGGGACUGUGUUACCAACAAACCACCCAGACAGAGAAAGUCACUUUGGAGGAGUGAUUGCAAACACAAAAGUCAAAGAGACUUCAAGUGUAAAAGUGGUG